GACGAACGCUGGCGGCGUGCUUAACACAUGCAAGUCGAACGAUGAAGCCGGAGCUUGCUCCGGUGGAUUAGUGGCGAACGGGUGAGUAACACGUGAGCAACCUGCCCUUGACUCUGGGAUAACUGCGGGAAACUGUAGCUAAUACCGGAUACGACACCUUGGGGCAUCCCAGGGUGUGGAAAGAAUUUCGGUCAAGGAUGAGCUCGCGGCCUAUCAGCUAGUUGGUGAGGUAAUGGCUCACCAAGGCGACGACGGGUAGCCGGCCUGAGAGGGUGAACGGCCACACUGGAACUGAGACACGGUCCAGACUCCAACGGGAGGCAGCAGUGGGGAAUAUUGCACAAUGGGCGAAAGCCUGAUGCAGCAACGCCGCGUGAGGGAUGAAGGCCUUCGGGUUGUAAACCUCUUUUAGCAGGGAAGAAGCGAAAGUGACGGUACCUGCAGAAAAAGCACCGGCUAACUACGUGCCAGCCGCCGCAGUAA
rnacentral:rRNA from 1 species